rnacentral:lncRNA from 1 species
CGAAAUUAUUAAUACCACAACUUGCGGAAUUUAGGACGUUGGCGUUGCUUAAUUCCUAGUUUUUAGCAAAAAUAGUCCUAAGAGGACUUUUAGCGAACAUGUUAUGUACGCCACUUUAACAAUCAGAUUUCUAGCCAUUUCUUUGUAUUCCAACCCGAAUUCGCCACCUUAUUACUCCGCACACUAACAACUAUACUCCAUGUCCCUAAUUCAGUCAAAAGCUAACUGAUUUAUACCAUAAAAGCAUACAUAAUCUUUCUAUCAAUUAAUGAAUUCACAUACUACUAACUAACUUUAUAUAAAUUUUGUUCAUUG